AGAGUUUGAUCCUGGCUCAGAAUGAACGCUGGCGGCGUGCUUAACACAUGCAAGUCGAACGCGAAAGUCCUUCGGGAUGAGUAAAGUGGCGAACGGGUGCAUAACGCGUAGGAAUCUACCCUUGGGUGAAGGAUACCCUAGAGAAAUUUAGGCUAAUACUGCAUAAGCCGGGAAACCGGGAAAGGUGGCCUCUUGCUACCGCACAAGGAUGAGCCUGCGUACUAUUAGUUAGUUGGUGAGGUAAAGGCUCACCAAGACGAAGAUGGUUAGCUGGCCUGAGAGGGUGUACAGCCACAAUGGGACUGAGAUACGGCCCAUACUCCUACGGGAGGCAGCAGUGGGGAAUAUUGCACAAUGGGCGAAAGCCUGAUGCAGCGACGCCGCGUGGAGGAUGACGGUUUUCGGAUUGUAAACUCCUGUUAAGUGGGAAGAAAGAACACGGAUUAAUACCCCGUGGAGAUGACGGUACCACUAGAGAAAGCACCGGCUAACUUCGUGCCAGCAGCCGCGGUAAUACGAGGGGUGCAAGCGUUAUUCGGAAUAACUGGGCGUAAAGAGCGCGUAGGCGGCUUGUUAAGUCUGUUGUUAAAUUACCCAGCUCAACUGGGAAGAGGCAAUAGAAACUGGCGAGCUAGAGGACAAGAGAGAGAAGUGGAAUUCUCGGAGUAGCGGUGAAAUGCGUG
rnacentral:rRNA from 1 species